rnacentral:rRNA from 1 species
AAAGGAAUUGACGGGGGCCCGCACAAGCGGUGGAGCAUGUGGUUUAAUUCGAAGCAACGCGAAGAACCUUACCAGGUCUUGACAUCUGCAGAACCUCGUUGAAAGAUGAGGGUGCCUUCGGGAGCUGCAAGACAGGUGGUGCAUGGUUGUCGUCAGCUCGUGUCGUGAGAUGUUGGGUUAAGUCCCGCAACGAGCGCAACCCUUGCUAUUAGUUGCUAACAAGUUAAGUUGAGCACUCUAAUGGGACUGCCGGUGACAAGCCGGAGGAAGGUGGGGAUGACGUCAAAUCAUCAUGCCCUUUAUGAUCUGGGCUACACACGUGCUACAAUGGGCGGUACAAAGGGAAGCUAAGUCGUGAGGCGGAGCGGAUCCCAAAAAGCCGUUCUCAGUUCGGAUUGCAGGCUGCAACUCGCCUGCAUGAAGUCGGAAUCGCUAGUAAUCGCGAAUCAGCACGUCGCGGUGAAUACGUUCCCGGGCCUUGUACACACCGCCCGU